rnacentral:rRNA from 1 species
AAUAGAUACCCUGGUAGUCCAUGCCGUAAACGUUGGGCACUAGGGUGUGGGGGCCAUUCCACGGUUUCCGCGCCGCAGCUAACGCAUUAAGUGCCCCGCCUGGGGAGUACGGCCGCAAGGCUAAAAACUCAAAGGAAUUGACGGGGGGCCCGCACAAGCGGCGGAGCAUGCGGAUUAAUUCGAUGCAACGCGAAGAACCUUACCAAGGCUUGACAUGUUCUCGACCGCCACAGAGAUGUGGUUUCCCCUUUGGGGCGGGUUCACAGGUGGUGCAUGGUUGUCGUCAGCUCGUGUCGUGAGAUGUUGGGUUAAGUCCCGCAACGAGCGCAACCCUCGUUCCAUGUUGCCAGCGGGUUAUGCCGGGGACUCAUGGGGAGACUGCCGGGGUCAACUCGGAGGAAGGUGGGGACGACGUCGAAAUCAUCAUGCCCCUUAUGUCUUGGGCUUCACGCAUGCUACAAUGGCCGGUACAAUGGGUUGCGAUACUGUGAGGUGGAGCCAAUCCCAAAAAGCCGGUCGUCAGUUCGGAUUGGGGUCUGCAACUCGACCCC